GAUGAACGCUGGCGGCGUGCCUAAUACAUGCAAGUCGAGCGAACAGACGAGGAGCUUGCUCCUCUGACGUUAGCGGCGGACGGGUGAGUAACACGUGGAUAACCUACCUAUAAGACUGGGAUAACUUCGGGAAACCGGAGCUAAUACCGGAUAAUAUAUUGAACCGCAUGGUUCAAUAGUGAAAGACGGUUUUGCUGUCACUUAUAGAUGGAUCCGCGCCGCAUUAGCUAGUUGGUAAGGUAACGGCUUACCAAGGCAACGAUGCGUAGCCGACCUGAGAGGGGGACAGGCCCACCUGGACCUGAGACCGGGCCCAGCCCCCUCGGGGAGGAAGCGUAGGGAAACUUUCCGCAAUGGGAGAAGGUUUAACGGCGCAACCCCGGGGGAUGAAAGAAGGUUUUGGAACCGAAAACCUUUUUUAUUGGGAAAGAACAAAUGUGUAAUUAACUAUGCCCGCCUUGACGGUCCCUAAUCAAAAAGCCACGGCAAACUCCGUC
rnacentral:rRNA from 1 species